GAUGAACGCUAGCUACAGGCUUAACACAUGCAAGUCGGAGGGAAACGACAUCGAAAGCUUGCUUUUGAUGGGCGUCGACCGGCGCACGGGUGAGUAACGCGUAUCCAACCUGCCCACCACUUGGGGAUAACCUUGCGAAAGUAAGACUAAUACCCGAUGAUAUCUCUAGACGACAUCUGAAAGGGAUUAAAGAUUUAUCGGUGAUGGAUGGGGAUGCGUCUGAUUAGCUUGUUGGCGGGUAACGGCCCACCAAGGCGACGAUGGGUAGGGGUUCUGAGAGGAAGGUCCCCCACAUUGGAACUGAGACACGGUCCAAACUCCUACGGGAGGCAGCAGUGAGGAAUAUUGGUCAAUGGGCGAAAGCCUGAACCAGCCAAAUAGCGUGCAGGACGACGGCCCUCUGGGUUGUAAACUGCUUUAGUCGGGAAUAAAAUGCGGCACGUGUGCCGCUUUGCAUGUACCGUCAGAAAAAAGGCCGGCUAAUUCCGUGCCAGCAGCC
rnacentral:rRNA from 1 species